GAUGAACGCUAGCGGCAGGCUUAAUACAUGCAAGUCGUGGGGCAGCAGGACUGUAGCACUACAGUUGCUGGCGACCGGCAAACGUGUGCGGAACACGUACGCAACUUAUCCUGAACUGGGGGAUAGCCCGGGGAAACCCGGAUUAAUACCCCGUAAUAUAAUGGAGUGGCAUCACUUUAUUAUUAAAGCUCCGGCGGUUCGGGAUGGGCGUGCGGCUGCUUAGGUAGUUGGUUGAGGUAACGGCUCACCAAGCCUACGAUCAGUAACUGGUGUGAGAGCACGCCCAGUCACACGAGCACUGAGACACAGGCCCGAAUCCUACGGGAGGCAACAGUAAGGAAUAUUGGGAAAUGAAGGCAACUCUGAACCAGCCAUGCCGCGUGGAGAAUGAGGGCCCUCUAGGUAGUAAACUUCUUUUAUAGGGGACGAAAGCUGUGUAUUCUUACGCAGUUGACGGUACCCUAGGAAUAAGCACCGGCUAACUCCGUG
rnacentral:rRNA from 1 species